CCUUACAUUAUGUAAUGAAGAGGAUUGCUGAUUAUACAAUCGGUAGGGAGUCUAAACACUUCAGAAUGGAAACUUGCUAACUGAGUUUUAUGGCCAUUUUUGCCAUUGGUGAGACAUGGCUUUUGGUCGACUGUUUGACUGGACUGAUAUAUCUCCUGCUAGUGUUUUUAUCUGCGUUGAUUUUAAUCUAAGGAUGGAUGAUCCAACCAGUGAAGGUGUCAGUGUUUAAUGAUAUGGAAAAUCAAACGAUGAUGUACUGGAUCAUCAAUGCUGCUCAGAAGAAACAAACUGCUUGUCUAUGCAGUGCGGGUGUAUUACAAAUGUUUGUAGAAAAGUGGUGUCUGUAGAUAUUUAGGUGAGCAUACCAUGAAAAGCCUUCCCAUUUCCCUUAGUGUUUUUGUCUUUUUUUAGUAGGAUGCCUCUAAUGGGCAAGUAGACAUAAUCUUUGAGAAAUAAUUAUCUAUUUUAAGGGAACAGAUUCUAAGAUAUAACAUAUAAUGAACCUUAGGAAAGAAAAUAUUGAUAAUUUAUGUGAAUAUGAUUUCCUGAAGUUAAUAGGAUUCCCUUUUGUUUAGUUCUUGUUAACUACAAGUCUCUCUCAAUAUUACACGAGAAAUAGUGAAUGUUUGGAACCUAGAUUAAGAGCAUAAUGACAUUCCUUUCAAAAAAAAAAACUACCAUAAACAGUUUUCCCAACCAUUUGUAAUUCUUUUGUUCCGAUAGUAGUUCCUUGUUAUUAUAAGUUUUGGUGAAGUAGUGUAUGGGAGUCUGCUGGUCUGGAAUUAAAAGUGCAGAGAUUAUAUUAUUAACAUUUGACUGUCAUUUUUGACAACGUGAAUGUGUUAGCGUUAUGAAACUUGGAUUAAAAUUGUAUAUUAGAAAAUCUGUCGAAACCUAGAUAAUCCUCCUAUUUCGCUUUGUUUCAAAUAAGGGAGGCGACGGAUAACGGUGACAAGUGUUUUAUUAUUUUCGAAAUUACCACCAUUCUAAAUUGUCAUACUGUUAUAAAUUUCAUUCUGUUUGUCCGAAAGUAUUAAACUAAAGAAAAUC